AUAAACAUUUGAGUGAGUGGCGGACGGGUGAGUAACACGUGGGUAACCUGCCCUAAAGUGGGGGAUAACAUUUGGAAACAGAUGCUAAUACCGCAUAAAACCUAACACCGCAGGGUGUAGGGUUGAAAGAUGGUUUCGGCUAUCACUUUAGGAUGGACCCGCGGUGCAUUAGUUAGUUGGUGAGGUAAAGGCUCACCAAGACCGUGAUGCAUAGCCGACCUGAGAGGGUAAUCGGCCACACUGGGACUGAGACACGGCCCAGACUCCUACGGGAGGCAGCAGUAGGGAAUCUUCCACAAUGGACGAAAGUCUGAUGGAGCAACGCCGCGUGAGUGAAGAAGGUUUUCGGAUCGUAAAACUCUGUUGUUGGAGAAGAAUGUAUCUGAUAGUAACUGAUCAGGUAGUGACGGUAUCCAACCAGAAAGCCACGGCUAACUACGUGCCAGCAGCCGCGGUAAUACGUAGGUGGCAAGCGUUGUCCGGAUUUAUUGGGCGUAAAGCGAGCGCAGGCGGUUUCUUAAGUCUGAUGUGAAAGCCUUCGGCUCAACCGAAGAAGUGCAUCGGAAACUGGGAAACUUGAGUGCAGAAGAGGACAGUGGAACUCCAUGUGUAGCGGUGAAAUGCGUAGAUAUAUGGAAGAACACCAGUGGCGAAGGCGGCUGUCUGGUCUGUAACUGACGCUGAGGCUCGAAAGCAUGGGUAGCAAACAGGAUUAGAUACCCUGGUAGUCCAUGCCGUAAACGAUGAGUGCUAGGUGUUGGAGGGUUUCCGCCCUUCAGUGCCGCAGCUAACGCAUUAAGCACUCCGCCUGGAGAGUACGACCGCAAGGUUGAAACUCAGAGGAAUUGACGGGCGCCCGCACAAGCGGUGGAGCAUGUGGUUUAAUUCGAAGCAACGCGAAGAACCUUACCAGGUCUUGACAUCCUUUGACCACUCUAGAGAUAGAGCUUUCCCUUCGGGGACAAAGUGACAGGUGGUGCAUGGUUGUCGUCAGCUCGUGUCAUGAGAUGUUGGGUUAAGUCCCGCAACGAGCGCAACCUUAUUACUAGUUGCCAGCAUUUAGUUGGGCACUCUAGUGAGACUGCCGGUGACAAACCGGAGGGAGGUGGGGACAACUUCAAUCAUCCUGCCCCUUAUGACUGGGCUACCCCGUGCUACAAGGG
rnacentral:rRNA from 1 species